GUAGGUGGCAAGCGUUGUCCGGAAUUAUUGGGCGUAAAGCGCGCGCAGGUGGUUCUUUAAGUCUGAUGUGAAAGACCCCCGGGCUCAACCGGGGAGGGUCAUUGGAAACUGGGGAACUUGAGUGCAGGAGAGGAAAGUGGAAUUCCACGUGUAGCGGUGAAAUGCGUAGAUAUGUGGAGGAACACCAGUGGCGAAGGCGACUUUCUGGCCUGUAACUGACACUGAGGCGCGAAAGCGUGGGGAGCAAACAGGAUUAGAUACCCUGGUAGUCCACGCCGUAAACGAUGAGUGCUAAGUGGUUGGGGGGUUUCCCGCCCCUCAGUGCUGCAGCUAACGCAUUAAGCACUCCGCCUGGGGAGUACGGUCGCAAAGACUG
rnacentral:rRNA from 1 species